rnacentral:rRNA from 1 species
AGUGAACGCUGGCGGUAGGCCUAACACAUGCAAGUCGAACGGCAGCACAGUAAGAGCUUGCUCUUACGGGUGGCGAGUGGCGUACGGGUGAGGAAUACAUCGGAAUCUACUUUUUCGUGGGGGAUAACGUAGGGAAACUUACGCUAAUACCGCAUACGACCUACGGGUGAAAUCAGGGGAUCUUCGGACCUUGCGCGAUUGAAUGAGCCGAUGUCGGAUUAGCUAGUUGGCGGGGUAAAGGCCCACCAAGACGACGAUCCGUAGCUGGUCUGAGAGGAUGAUCAGACACACUGGAACUGAGACACGGUCCAGACUCCUACGGGAGGCAGCAGUGGGGAAUAUUGGACAAUGGGCGCAAGCCUGAUCCAGCCAUACCGCGUGGGUGAAGAAGGCCUUCGGGUUGUAAAGCCCUUUUGUUGGGAAAGAAAAGCAGCAGGUUAAUACCCCGCUGUUCUGACGGUACCCAAAGAAUAAGCACCGGCUAACUUCGUG